rnacentral:rRNA from 1 species
CGUGUAGGCGGCGGUAUAAGUCUGGAGUGAAAGUCCUCUUUUCAAGGGAGGAAUUGCUUUGGAGACUGUACAGCUUGAGUGCGGAAGAGGUAAGUGGAAUUCCCAGUGUAGCGGUGAAAUGCGUAGAGAUUGGGAGGAACACCAGUGGCGAAGGCGACUUACUGGGCCGUAACUGACGCUGAGGCGCGAAAGCGUGGGGAGCGAACA